AACGAACGCUGGCGGCAUGCCUAACACAUGCAAGUCGAACGAGACCUUCGGGUCUAGUGGCGCACGGGUGCGUAACGCGUGGGAACCUGCCCUUAGGUUCGGAAUAACUCCCCGAAAGGGGUGCUAAUACUGGAUAAUGUCUUCGGACCAAAGAUUUAUCGCCUUUGGAUGGGCCCGCGUUGGAUUAGCUAGUUGGUAGGGUAAAAGCCUACCAAGGCGACGAUCCAUAGCUGGUCUGAGAGGAUGAUCAGCCACACUGGGACUGAGACACGGCCCAGACUCCUACGGGAGGCAGCAGUGGGGAAUAUUGGACAAUGGGCGAAAGCCUGAUCCAGCAAUGCCGCGUGAGUGAUGAAGGCCUUAGGGUUGUAAAGCUCUUUUACCCGGGAUGAUAAUGACAGUACCGGGAGAAUAAGCUCCGGCUAACUCCGUG
rnacentral:rRNA from 1 species